UACGGAGGGGGCUAGCGUUGUUCGGAAUUACUGGGCGUAAAGCGCACGUAGGCGGCUUUGUAAGUUAGAGGUGAAAGCCCGGGGCUCAACUCCGGAAUUGCCUUUAAGACUGCAUCGCUAGAAUUGUGGAGAGGUAAGUGGAAUUCCGAGUGUAGAGGUGAAAUUCGUAGAUAAUUCGGAAGAACACCAGUGGCGAAGGCGACUUACUGGACACAUAUUGACGCUGAGGUGGCGAAAAGCGU
rnacentral:rRNA from 1 species